rnacentral:lncRNA from 1 species
CCUAAUGACUCACGAGCUAACCAUGAAGCAACACAGCGAAGAAGAGUCCUCACAUAAGAAAAAGGUAAUAGCUCUUAAAUCCACAUCAUCUAACAAAGAUUUGUCCUGCAGUAGCAGCAGUGAAGAAGAAGAUCAUGAGGGAGAUGAUGAUGAGGCUCUUCUUGUGCGCAAGUUCAGAAAAUUCAUCAACCACAAGAAGUCCUAUCAUCAAAGGAGAGGCCCCUCAAAUUUCUAUCGCAAGGAUAAAGGUAAGAAAAGGGAAAAUGAGGGGAUUGGAUGCUAUGAGUGCAAGAAGCCGGGACACAUCAGAGCUGAGUGUCCCUUACUUAAGAAGGGCAGCAAGUACAAGAAGAAGAAAGCCCUUGUCACCACCUUAUCGGACUCCGACGCAUCAUCUUCAUCAUCGGAUGAGGAAUAAGAAGAAAAGGCCAAUUUCUUCUUCAUGGCCAACGAAAAUGAGGUAACAUCCGAAACGCAUCUAGAUUUUACUUUUGAUGAACUUUAUGAUGCAUUUAAUGAACUAAUGAUUGAAUAUAAGGCUAUAAACAUUAAGAAUAAAGAGCUAAAACUAGCUAAUCAAACUUACAUACAUAAAUAUGAUAAACUAGUUAAGGAUAAGGACUGUAUCACCAAAGAAAAUCUAGAACUUAAGACAAGCAACCAACUCUUAACUAAAAAAACUAACACCUUAAGUAAAGAUAAUGAAAAACUAACUAAGGAAAUUUCAGAACUUAAAAACAAUAAACAAAUCUUAAAUGAAAAUCUCAUAAAAGACUUGAAUACUCUAAAAACGGAAAAACAAACUCUAACUAAAGAACUUGGAAAAUACAAACCUUUGGUUGAGAAAUUUACUUAUAGUUCUAAAAAAUUAAAUAUGAUACUUAAUAGUCAACGUGCAGUAUUCAAUAGAGCAGGUUUAGGAUAUAAACCUAAAAAUAAGCAAAAACUUCUUAGUAACUUCUUUGUUAAAGC